AGCGAACGCUAGCGGCGGGCCUCAAACAUGCAAGUCGCACGCGAAAGUGUAGCAAUACACGAGUAGAGUGGCGCACGGGUGAGUAACACGUAAUUAACUUCCCCUCUCGCUGGGGAUAACUCCGGGAAACCGGAGCUAAUACCGAAUGAUCUCUUUUGGACUGCGGUCUGAACGAGUAAAGCCUUACGGUGCGAGAGGAUAGGGUUGCGGCCUAUUAGCUAGCUGGUGGGGUAAUGGCCUACCAAGGUUACGAUAGGUAGCUGGUCUGAGAGGACGAUCAGCCACACUGGAACUGACACACGGUCCAGACUCCCACGGGAGGCAGCAGUGGGGAAUUUUGGACAAUGGGCGCAAGCCUGAUCCAGCAAUGCCGCGUGCAGGAUGAAGGCCUUCGGGUUGUAAACUGCUUUUGUACGGAACGAAACGGUGAGCUCUAAUACAGUUUGCUAAUGACGGUACCGUAAGAAUAAGCACCGGCUAACUACGUGCCAGCAGCCGCCGUAAUAC
rnacentral:rRNA from 1 species